rnacentral:rRNA from 1 species
CGGACCAGGUUAGUGGCGUAAGGGUGAGUAAUGCGACGGCAACCAACCCCAUGGUUGGGUAUAACCGCGGGAAGCUGCGGAUAAUACCCAGCGAUGUUCGUGUCGGGCAUCCGGUGCGAACCAAAGUUUCGGCGCCGUGGGACGGGCCGUCGUGGUAUUAGGUAGUUGGCGGGGUAAUGGCCCACCAAGCCUUUGAUGCCUACCGGGCGUGCGAGCGUGGCCCGGCACACUGGGACUGAGACACUGCCCAGACUCCUACGGGAGGCUGCAGUCGAGAAUCUUCGGCAAUGGGCGCAAGCCUGACCGAGCGACGCCGCGUGAAGGAUGAAGGCCUUCGGGUUGUAAACUCCUGUCGAGGGGGAGGAAGGCGCAAGCUUGACCUAUCCCUGGAGGAAGCACGGGCUAAGUUCGUGCCAGCAGCCGCGGUAAGACGAACCGUGCGA